CCUUGUGUACGGUCGGGGCUUUCCCCGCGCAAAAGGGUUUUCUCAUUUAGCUAUGGCGAAGUGAAGAGGACGCUUUAGAGCGCGGGAUCGCCUAGGGUUCGUGGAAUGGCGUCGAGCAGUAGGCGCAGGCUCAGCAGGGAGGAAUUGGAGAAGACGCGGCUGUGGCAGGAAGUGAACGCGAGCAGCAGCGAUGAGGAGGGCUCGGCGCAAGAACCGGCGCAAUCCAAGAAGCGGGGAGCUGCGGCGCGGGGAGAUGGGCUUCCUCCGAAACGUCGCAAGCGGCAAGUGUCUUUGGAGUCCGAGAGUGGGAAAGACAGCAGUUUGGAGCAAGAUGAUCGAGGAAAAAAGAGGAAGAACAGGCAGUCUGAGGAUUCCAGUGAUGAUCGACAAAGCUUAAUAGACGUGAUCAAGCAUAAUGGGAAGCUUGUUCCUCGAGCUGUGAAGAACUGGAUUGAUCGCUACGAAUCAAGCCAGCGGCCGGCGACAUGCGAACUUAUUAUGUGUAUAUUUGAGGCUUGCGGUGCGAAGUACAAUAUUGACGAAGAUUUACUCGACGAAAUUAAUGUUGAUGAGGUUGUUCUCGAGCUUGUUAGUCAGGCUAAAGCGGGGGAUGUGGAAGAUUUUGUUACGUCGAAGCAAAAGGAUCUGCGUGGUUUUAAAGACAAUCUGACAUUAUUCUGGGAUACCUUCGUUCUAGAAUGCCAAAACGGACCACUUUUUGACGAACAACUUAUGGAGAUGUGCAUAAACUUUGUGACGGCGCUCUCAUGCACCCCGCCUAGGCACUUCCGGCAUGUCUCGACGCUCAUCGGACUUCAGCUCGCGACAUCAUUUGUCACCGUUGCAAAGACGCUUUCUCAAUCUCGGGAAACGAAACAGCGCCAGCUUAUUGCCGAGGAAAAGAAGAAACGGAAGGAUGCUGCACGCAUCGAGUCGCUCAACAAAGUCCUGUCUCAAACGCACGAUAAAAUAACAAAAAUCGAGGGUAUGAUCCAGGCCAUAAUCCGCGGGCUCUUUAUGCAUCGGUAUCGUGACGUCGACGUAGAUUUCAGAGUUGCAUGCGUCAAAGCCAUUGGUGGAUGGGUUAUAUCAUACCCGUCCUACUUCCUCAAUGACCUCUAUCUAAAGUAUAUCGGAUGGACGCUCAGCGAUAAGAACGUAGCCGUCCGCAAGAGCUCUAUUGAGGCUCUCCGAGCUAUCUACGAGAUUGAUGAUAAUGUACCUUCUAUGGCGCUAUUUACACAACGGUUUUCUAAUCGAAUGAUCGAACUAGCGGAUGAUGUUGAUAUAAGUGUUGCAGUGAGCGCCAUCGGCUUGUUUAAACAGCUGCUAAGGCAUCAACUUAUCAAAGACGUGAGCCCUCUGUACGAUCUUUUGAUCGAUGAAUCGCCUUCGAUUCGUCACGCUGUAGGGCAGCUAGUUUAUGAGCAGAUGAUUGCCGUGCCAAACGCAGAAGAAGGCGAGGACAGCGAUAAAUCUGAUGUCCAGUUAAAGAGAUUGCUAACGAUCCUGAAAGACUUCGCAAGUGAUCCCAUUCUAAGCGAUUAUGUUAUCGAUGCUGUCUGGGAAGAAAUGAAGGCUAUGCAGGACUGGAAGUGCCUAAUUUCGAUGCUACUGGAUGACAGUGAGAAUCAGGAGCUGACAGAUGUUGAUAUUGCAAGUUUAUGCAGGGUUCUUGGUGGUUCUGCAAAGAGAUCAGUUGGUGAGAAACUGGUGCCUACCAUUGACAGUCGCAAGGCAACACUAACGAAGGCGCAGAAGGAGGCUUUUGAGUCCAGUAAGAAGAAAUUGACAACGGCAAUGAUCAAGCCUCAUCCGAAGUUGUUAAGGAAAUAUCUUGCGGACAAAUCUAAAGUGUGUUAUAUCGUUGAGAUCAUGCAACAUAUGAAUCUUGAUCUCUAUUCAUUAAAGCAGCAAGAACAGAGCUGCAUUUCAUCUCUUGAGCUCACAAGGGACGCGUUCUUUAAACAUGGGGACCGCAAGACGUUGCAAACAUGUGUCAACACUUUAGUCUUUUGCGCUAGUGAGACGAAGGCAGAUCUUCAAGAUGCUGCUCAACGCGUUUUGAAAGAAACGACUGAUGAAGUUAUUCGCAAACUGAGAUCGGCCAUUGAGCACGCGGGGGAAACUGAAGACGACUAUUCUCUUACGGUGAACUUACGACGGUUACAGCAUUUGCAGUUGGCAAUGCCUAUAAAUAAUGAAGAGCUCUACAAAGAUCUACUCACACUUCUGGAAGACUUCAGUGAUUUGGAAGACGAGGCUGUGCAAUUAGAUUUGACAAACAUAUUUCUGUAUGUGAUAUGGUAUCUCAAAAGUAUUGACCACGAUAAUCCAGAUGAGAAUCAAUUAACGAGUCUUAUAACCAAGAGAUCUACACUUUAUAAGCACCUUGAAACUCAGAUGGACAAUGUUAUUUCGAGUUUCAGUGACGGGCAGACCAAGUCCUUGCUAAGUUCUACGAUUUGCACCAUUUUCUCGGACCUUUGCAGCCUAUUCAGCAAAGAAAAGCUGUCCUCUACGAAAAUUGAACGAUUGGGGUUUUCUCCCUCUUCAGAGAGGUUGGAGAAGUUUUGGGAGCUGUGCGAACUCAGGCUAUCUGUACCUGAUUCAGAUGACGACGACAUGGAGGUAGAGCGAGAGGAAGAAGCGGAUUACUUUAGCCAGAAAGAUAUCGUUAUCACGUCGGCUGCAAAGCUAGUUGCGCAUGAAAUGAUUCCUAAGGACUUUAUUGGGUCGGAGAUCAUAUCGCACUACGUGCUCCAUGGCAAGGGAGUCGAGGAGACCAUAAAGCAGCUAAUUCUCGUCUUCAAAAAGAAUAUGAAGUCCCAAGAGCUAUGUAGCCUCUAUCUAGACGCUAUGAAGAAGGCCUACAGCAGACAUUUAGAGGACGAUGAAGAAGCAAAGCCUAAAUCAUUUGAGCUUUGUAAGGAGCUAGCGAACCGUCUUUCAGCGACAUUUUCCGGUUUCGCCCGUAACAUCCACAGGCCAAGCAUCUUAAAGCUCGUAAGAAAUGGCGUGGAGCAUGCGUUUGAAGAUACUCCCACGCAGUUGUCAUUUCUCGAGGCGUGCGUUUUACCAUUCUUACAAAGAUUAGCUGCAGCCGACAUACGAGAUAUCAUCGAGAACGUGCAAAGCAGGGUAAACGACGACGAUGUAGAUCAAGAUCCGACUGGAUGGCGUCCAUAUCAGACAUUCCUGGAGCAUCUCCAGGAGAGGGUGUCGAAAACAGAAGCUCCAGGAAAGCAUGACCAGCCUCCUCGGCCACCUAGAAACGCCAAGACUAACAACAAGAAGAAGCUGUUUGGAGAUGAGUCCGAGAGCGACGAGGAGCAACCAUCGGAGUCGGAGGACCAGAUAGAAGAUGACGAUGACACUCCUCUCUACCAAGUGCGACAGAAGCUCAAGCAAAAAGGACCAACUACUGUGCUGUCCCCGCCUUCUUCUUCGCAGCACUCAAUGAGAACCCGGAAGAAAGCUACGGUGCUCACAGGCACGGAAGAAGACCUUCCGGUGUGAAAGAUUGAUUUUCAUUCCCCUUGUCUCGGCUCAAGACACCGAUGUUGUAAAGUAGGUGCUGUUAGUUCUCGCAGAUGCAAGCUCUCCAAAUCCAAACGAGGAAGAUCUCGUUUUGUCAGUCGCGAUAACGAUCACGGGAUUUGGAAACUUCGAACUUAAGGCUUGCUGGAGAGUGUUUCUUCGCAGUAGAUCAAUGGCUUGUUUGCUCGCGACGCAGCGACAAGAUUUG